rnacentral:rRNA from 1 species
AGAGUUUGAUCCUGGCUCAGGAUGAACGCUGGCGGCGUGGAUAAGGCAUGCAAGUCGAAUGCUUCCUUCGGGAAGCAUGGCAGACGAGGUAGUAACACGUAGGAACGUACCCUAUUCUCGGGGAUAACCCGGGGAAACCCGGAAUAAUACUCGAUAGUCUCUUCGGAGUAAAGAUUUAUCGGAAUAGGAACGGCCUGCGGAAUAUCAGCUUGUUGGUGAGGUAAAAGCUCACCAAGGCUACGACGUUUAGGGGAGGUGAGAGCCUGACCCCCACCGAUGGAACUGAGACACGGUCCAUACACCUACGGGUGGCCGCAGUCGAGAAUCUUCCGCAAUGGACGCAAGUCUGACGGAGCGACGCCGCGUGGUCGAUGAAGUCCUUCGGGAUGUAAAGGCCUUUUAUGAAGGAGAAAUCCGAUUUUUUCGGUGUGAUGUUACUUCAUGAAUAAGGGGUUGCUAAACUCGUGCCAGCAGCAGCGGUAAUACGAGUGCCCCAAGCGUUAUCCGGAAUCAUUGGGCGUAAAGGGUGUGUAGGUGGUUUAGAGUAGUCUUCUGUUAAAGACCCGGGCUUAACCCGGGGAAUGCGGGAGAAACGGCUAGACUAGAGAGUGUGAGAGGUCUAUGGAACUCACGGUGUAGGGGUGAAAUCCGUUAAUAUCGUGGGGAACACCAAAGGCGAAGGCAAUAGACUGGCACAUUUCUGACACUGAAACACGAAAGCGUGGGUAGCGAAUGGGAUUAGAUACCCCAGUAGUCCACGCCCUAAACGAUGUUCUCUCGCUUUUCGGAGUAUCGACCCUCUGAGAGGCUAAGCUAACGCGUUAAGAGAACCGCCUGGGAAUUACGACCGCAAGGUUAAAACUCAAAGGAAUAGACGGGGGCUCGCACAAGCGGUGGAUCAUGCGGUUUAAUUCGAUGCUAAACGAAGAACCUCACCAAGACUAGACAUCUAAGCGACGAAUUUAAGAAAUUAGAUUCUUCUCACAAGGACGCUUAGACAGGUGUUGCAUGGCUGUCGUCAGUUCGUGGUUUGAAUUGUUCCCUUAAGUGGGGUAACGAACGCAACCCUUGCUGCCUGUUUUAUAUGUCAGGCAGGACUGCCCUGUUUACCAGGGAGGAAGUGGGGAUGACGCCAAGUCAGCAUGACCCUUGAUGUCUUGGGCUACACGCAUGAUACAAUGGUCGGUACAGAGAGUCGCAAUGGGGUGACCCGGAGCUAAUCUCAAAAGCCGAUCUCAGUCCGGAUUGGAGGCUGCAACUCGACUCCAUGAAGUCGGAAUCGCUAGUAAUCGCAGGUCAGCUAUACUGCGGUGAAUACGUUCCCGAGCCUUGUACUCACCGCCCGUCAAGCCAGGGAAGCCGGGAGUACCCGAAGUCUCUUCGUAUGAAGGGCCUAAGGUAAAUUCGGUAACAAGGGUUAAGUCGUAACAAGGUA